AAAAUUAUAUUAAUCGUUUGCCGCUCAAUACAAAUGAAAUUGGUCUUGGUCUAAACCUCAUAUCGCUAAUACAAUAAAUUCCGAUCAUUUGGUUGACAUUUUUCACAUCAACGCAAUAUAUUUAAUUUAGCGUCUUCGGUUGAGUUUAUAUCACAUAUAUAAUAUAAUAUCUAAUUUGAGGAUGGUUUUAGUAUAAUUUUUGUUGACGGGAAGUAAAAUAUAGUAAUAAAAUUAAGUGAGCCAUCAAAAUAAGUUUAUAUGAUACCGAAUUUGAUUGUAAUCCAUUCACGAUUUCUUCAAACAAUGAAGUCUAACUCUUUCUUAUUUCCCCUGCUUUGGUCCUUGCAAUUUACAACAGUAGAACAUGGCACUAUUUGUGCUUCUUCCGUAUCUAUCCAUAUCAUGUAGGUUAUCAAAUUGAAUGUUUCUGACGUAUUUGUUUAGUGAAUUAUCGCACUUUUAGGGUUUUCAAUGAAACCGUCACCCCCAUGGGCGUGGCAUCCGAUGAAAUCCAUUUUUGCAUUGUAUGAGGAGUAAGAAGGAUAUAUGUACUUUAAACCUAUCAGAUGGAGCCAUUUGUGGGCGUGCAACAUCAACCUUCACAGGGUGCCCUGUUUUAUCAACAUAUUUUACUCAAAUUAUCGGUUGAACAUACAGACAGACCUACACUCACCGGGAAUUCAACUAGUAUCGCCAUCCUGAUCAUAUAUAAAUCUGUAUAUAACACUAGAAAGGAAAGAGUAAAGUAUAACCAUUCUUUAACACACACAUAUACUCGAUUAAAAUUGCGUUUUCUUCAAUUUCUAAAUAUAACCCGGUCGAUCCAACACCGGGGAUGUCCUAAGUUCUUUCGAGAACUACUUUCUGAGUGUUGACACUGUUUUUUUUUUUUUAUAACACCAAAUUCAGGAAUUUUUAUACUAAAUCGCAUCCGAUACGCCUUUUUAAUUAUAUUUUUAGGACCUAAUAUAAAACUAUUUAGACCUCCAUAUUAAGGAUAUAUAUGUAGAUAUGUAUGUAUAUAGGUAAUCCCUACUUAUAUUAUAUAAUAUUAUAAAUGCGAAAACCUGUUUGUUUGUUACGCUUUCACGCAAAAACUACUUAACCGAUCAUCAUAAAGCUUUGUACACAUACUCUUGGAGGUGUCAGAAUGAACGUAUCGUAUGUUAUUUAAUAAAAAAUUUUUUUUUUUUAAUAAUAUAAAGAAUUUUUUUUGUCAAUAUAACCUCUUAAUCUGGCUACUUUAACGCUAUCUAGUAUUCCAGUAAUGAGGCUCAAGCCUGAAUACUAUAAAACUAUCACACUGUACUACCGACAGCCACGUUAACAUCCAAUCAAAUUAACUCUACAAUGGAGACUAUACACUAUACUUCCAUAAACUAUACUUUCAGUAUAGUAUGCUAUACUACGGAGACUAAACACUAUACUUCUAUAGUGCACCUUCAGCUAUUUUGAGUUUUUCUUCAUUGUUAUUUCUUCUGACACGGAAAUCUGCGCUACCAAUAAAUUCUUCGUCGGUCCGUUAAGCUAAAAUUGCACGAAAUUAAGAAUCUGAAGUUCACGUAAAGCAGAGAAGACAACAGCAAGCAGUGCGAUAACGUGUUUUAAGAGCAGCUGAAACUCCUCUUCAGACACGAGUUAGUUCAGAAAGACCAGCUAUCAGUAGGCAGCUAGAAGAGCGAGGGAAAUUCCCAAUUCCCACAACAACUAGUUCUACGUCACCGGAAUUGACGCGGAUUUUAUCCGACCAAAGGCUGUUAUUUUGGCGAUCUAACCCUGUUUGGAUCGGUAUUCCAAAGUUCACUAAUCCACACGCAAAAAUGUUCCACUUGGUACGGGUUGCAUACGAAAACAUCCAAAUGCCUGAAAUCUGCUACAGUGUGUUGCCGUGUUAUGUUUUAAAAUUUAUAACUUUAAUGUUUUUAUUCAUAUUCGAAUAUUUUUCGAUUACCAAAAUUCCUAAAGAUUAAAUUUGCAUAUAAAAAGUAUAUCGCUGUGAGUGUUUUAGAAUAUUUUGUAAAUGUUAUUUACUAAUAGUACAUUGAACUAUUAUAUUGUUCAUGAAUUGUACCCGAUUUUGUAUAUAUAUUAAUUUUUGUUUCGAUGAAAUUAAAACCAGCAAGUUGUUCUGUCAUGUAUUUGUUAAUGAGUAAAUAAACUUUUUUUUCGAAAA